GAACAUAUCUGAGAGUAACUGUUCAGGUAUUGACGGUAUUUAACCAGAAAGCCACGGCUAACUACGUGCCAGCAGCCGCGGUAAUACGUAGGUGGCAAGCGUUGUCCGGAUUUAUUGGGCGUAAAGCGAGCGCAGGCGGUUUUUUAAGUCUGAUGUGAAAGCCUUCGGCUCAACCGAAGAAGUGCAUCGGAAACUGGGAAGCUUGAGUGCAGAAGAGGACAGUGGAACUCCAUGUGUAGCGGUGAAAUGCGUAGAUAUAUGGAAGAACACCAGUGGCGAAGGCGGCUGUCUGGUCUGUAACUGACGCUGAGGCUCGAAAGUAUGGGUAGCAAACAGGAUUAGAUACCCUGGUAGUCCAUACCGUAAACGAUGAAUGCUAAGUGUUGGGGGGUUUCCGCCCUUCAGUGCUGCAGCUAACGCAUUAAGCAUUCCGCCUGGGGAGUACGGCCGCAAGGCUGAAACUCAAAGGAAUUGACGGGGGCCCGCACAAGCGGUGGAGCAUGUGGUUUAAUUCGAAGCUACGCGAAGAACCUUACCAGGUCUUGACAUACUAUGCAAAUCUAAGAGAUUAGACGUUCCCUUCGGGGA
rnacentral:rRNA from 2 species